CUUCCUGAUUCUUCUGAACAGAGGACUUGAUUCCUUUCUCUGUAAAAACAGCAUGAACGCAUCCCAUCCGGGUGCUGCUUGUUUCAACAGGAGGCAGGCGGGGCUCCCAGUAGGCUGGGAGCUGGUGCCUCAGCCUCACAGCGUGGGGGACAGGAGACAGAGCCCCUCAGAGCCACAUGAGAAGCCCUUCCUGAAAGGCAGGAACCACACGUCAGCACACAUUUAUCACUGGCAGCAAAACACCCUAUAAUCCAGACACUCGGCCUGACGUGAGCAAACAUUCUGGAUACUUGAGCGUCUCCUGAAGGCCAAGCAGUGACUUCCUAGGUCGACUAUCUCCCCAUUGCCAUGAAAAUGAGGACGCACGGAUGUGUGGCUGUUUAUUUACAGAAUUUUCCCAUCAUCCCCACCAGAAGGUGGGUCCCUGUGAACCAGAAGUCCAGAAUUUUCCCAUCAUCCCGACCAGAAGGUGGGUCCCUGUGAACCAGAAGUCCCCAUUUUCUCCUCCCUCCAGUCCCUGGUAAAUCUCUAUUUUGCUUUCUGUGUUUUUGAAUUUGACUACUCCAGGUGCCUCCCAAAGGUGGAAUCCUCUCGUAUUUGUCCCUUUGUAGCUGGCUUAUUUCAUUUAACAUGAUGUCUUCAAGAUUUUUCUACCUCAUGACAUAGGUCAGGAUCUCAUUCCUUUUUAAGGAGGAAGGCUAUUCCAUUUUAUGUAUGUACCAUGUUUUGUUUAUCCGUUUCUCUGUCGAUGGACAUUUGAUUUGUUUCCGCCUUUUUGGCUGUUGUGAAUGACACUGCUAUAACCCUCAUGUACAAACGUUUGUUCGAAGUCCUGCUUUCAGUUCUUUGGGGUAUAUCCUUAGGUCGGAAUGGCUGGAUCAUAUGGUCAUUCUGUGUUUAACUUUUUGAGGAACCACCAGCCCCCAGAUCACUUUUGAAUGCGUCACCAUAGAGCAUGCUCACCGAGUGCCACUGUGUACUUAUUUGUAAAAGCAGAACCAUUACCUCUUAGGGACAGGACUUCAGAGGUCAGCUGGUCUACCCACUUCCUUUGGUGGAUGGGACUGAAUCGCACAGGGGUAAGUGCUUCCUGGAGCCUACCAGGCAGAGGCGCAUUCCAGCUCUGAGAGUUGCUAGAUCUGUAAUCUUGUCUGACUAAGCAAUAGUUUCUAGUAGAGGACAAGGUCCACUUUGGGAGGCUGUUGUGAGAAAUAAAUAAGACCAUGUGGUGGAUUGCUUGGCCCAGAUCCCAUUACAGGCAGGUCUUCAAAAAGCUGUGGCCCCUGUUGUUGCUGGGACCAUGUUUACAAAACUCUGAGGCCCAGAGAAGGUAACCAUAGUCUGGUAGCUUCUUCCCAUAGCUGAUCCUAAAUUUCUCUUGUACAUGGCUCUCUUUCUACGUCCAUAUAUUAUGAUAUAGUUCAAGCUGAAAUCCUCCUGUGAGCCUUGUUCAUCUCCUCUGGAAUGGUCAUGGAUGUAGUUGGUUGAUGAUUCUAAUCCUGCUAAAAUAUUUCAGGAAGCAGUGAGACUUUGCCUUAUCCCACUGGGCUAUCUACUAACCAUGUGGCCUUGAGCAAGUCACUCAAUCUGGCGAAUCCUUGUGUUUUGCCAAGUAUAGUGUAGAGCAUCGCACCAAAUGUACAGGGCUAUGGUCAGACUUAUGGAAGGACUUAAGUGAAGUCCCAGCGCUGAGACACUCCCCAAAGGGCCAUCUUCAUACUUCAUCAAAACAAAAAGACUGACUGUCAGACAGGCAGCUUAACCAGUACCCAAAAUGAAGGUGCGUCCCCAUUUCCCAGAUGUUCACAUGCAAGGGAAGUGUGCAUCCUGGAAUGGAUGGAAUACGGUAACUGCCUUUUGGGUGAGUGCCUAAGUAAAAGGCCAUAAGAGAGAGAAAUGGAAGCUUGGAAAAGCCUCACCUUUUUGGAAAAGGAAGGAAGGUACCAGAGCAGUUCUGUUUCUCCUAUGACUCAGCUGGGGCCCACACCUGGAACAGGUCUCUUACCAACUCAUGUUCAAUGAACUCAAGGGGAAAAAAAGUUGUUGGAAAUAUGAGCCCAACUCUGGCAUACAGAAUGGAAGAAGAAAUGCUUUGGAGGAAAAAAAAAAGCUCUUUUUCACUUAUCACAUGAAAUGGAACAGUGCCCUUGACUCACACAUGGUUUGGGCUGACAGCUGGUGGUUUGAGUGGGGGAUAGAGACACCUUUGGUCUCCCCAGGCUAACCAAGUCCAGCUACCUCUACCCUUCCGGGCGUCUUACACAAUGGACCCAUUUGAAGGUGCCAACUGUAGGCAAGUGACUCACUUCUGAGUCUGAAACACCAACUUGUUAGGUCUUGAUGAAACUUCAGAGGUGACCUUAAUAGUGGCCUUGCCUCGAGAUGCUCAUGUUCCCACAGCUGAUAGAAGAACAUAAGACUUCUGAAGCCCUCUCCAAUGGGCACUUGGGUUCCUAGAGUUUUACAAACAGGGAGGAUCUUGUUUCGAGGUUGAAGAGGAUCUCUGAUGGUUACAACUUGCUAGGACCUGGGGCUGACUGGAUUAAUUAACAAGGGUGCUACUUCUUUUGGACUUAAACAUUAAUAGCCGCAGCCUAUUAGAAGUUCUAUGGUUAAUAGUGUCUACUUCUGAUAAUCUCUUCACUCCUCGAACUGGUCACUUGCCGCAACCAAACACUGAGCAUUCACUAUGUCCCAGGCACAAUUCUCAUCCCUUUUCCAGUGAGAAAGGUCCUGUUACUAUUCUUAUUUUAUAGACAUUGGUUAAGCAUGUAGUUUGUCCAAUGUUACAUAGCAAGUCUGGACUCUGACUUUGGAGAUUGAACUAUUAACCCAACAUGUUAAGGUACCCCUUGAUUGACUUGUUGUCACCUCCUCAGAGCAAAUGGAAGCCAUCAGAUGGGGACACACUCAAUCGACCUUCACUAAACUUACAACCGCCCCCCCUCCAUCUUCCUUCCUUGUGUCUAUUUGUCUUGUGCGUCUUCUCAGCUUCUUGUUCCGUCUGUGCUCAGGGUGCCACGCUUACCUGCCUUCUUAAGGACUAUCCUUGGUGACCACACUCUCCUAUAUUUUCAACCUCUUGUCAUUUACCGACUCCUUCCCUCCCUAAAGUAGAUCCUCUAUUGACAAAGAAAUGGAAAGCCGCCCACACACCUUAACACAUACAUACGUAUGUGCUCCAUGCUUACGGAACGGGUGACGGAAGUGCCAACCUUUAUUGUCCCCCUUUUUCCUCAUCUCUCCUCUGUAAUCGGCAACCACUUGAAUGUGGUCUUUCUUCCAUUCUGCUCAGUCCAGUGAACACAGCUUAGUCUGUCUCUCCUUGAGCUAUGUGAUGGUGUUCCCCACCCCUUUCUUACAGAUGUGCAUCUUUGGGGUACUCUGAUGUAUCUCUACGGGGUUGCUGUUUGGGGCUACUUACUUUCUGUUCCUCCUCCUUUGGAAAAAGAACACCUCAUGUCCUUUUGGAAAUCCCCCUCCCCUGCUUUUGUGGGGCUGUCCGUGGCAAAGCUACUUUCUCUUAGCAACCUACCAGUUCUCCAAGCUGGCUUGGAUAUCCAGCUGAUCCUCCUUUUCACAUGGAGGGAUUUUCACGAGAGCAGCAGUUCCUGAAAUGUGCUCCCUGGACCCAGGGGUAUCAGAAUCUCUUGCAAACAUGGUAGAAAUGCUGGUUCUUGGGGGUGCCUGGGUAGCUCAGUCAGUUAAGCGUCUACCUUCGGCUCAGGUCACGAUCUCAGGGUCCUGGGAUCAAUCCCUGCUCAGUGUGGAGUCUGCUUCUCAAUCUGUCCCCUCCCCCACUCAUGCUCUUGUGCUCUCUCUCAAAUAAAUAAAUAAAAUCUUAAAAAAAAAAAAAAAAGAAAUGCUGGUUCUCAUUACCCAUGGUCCCUGCCCCCCUCACCCCCCUGCUUAUCUGUGUUUGACCAGUUCUCCAGGGGAUUCUGACACAUGUUAAAGUUUGAGAAUGAACAUAACGCCCCUGGUUUGGUCUUUUGCUUUAAGUUUAUGGAAGUUUAAUUUGCAAGCAGUAGUGUUCCCUUUUUUUUAUAUACACACAGUUCUAGGGAUUUUAAUAAAUGUAUACAGUUGUGUGAUUACUAUCACUGAGAUGAUAUGAAAUACUUCUAUCAUCCCAAAAUGUUCCCUUAUUCUCUUUGGUAUUUAAUUUCUCCCUUCACCCCAACACCUGGCAACUACUGAUCUUGUUUUUGUUUCUGUAGAUUGGCCAUUUCCAGAAUAUUGUAUAAGUGGAUUCAUCCGAUAUGUAGCCCUUCGAGAUUGCUUCUCUCACAGAACACAGCGCUUCUGAAAUUCAUCCACAUUGUUGUAUCAGUGGUGUGCUUUUUUUUAUUGCCGAGUAGCUUCUUUUGUGUGGCUACUAGAAUUUGUUCAGUCAUCUACUAAUUGAAGGGACAUUGGAUGGUUUCCAAUGCGGGGCAAUUGUGAAUAAAACUAUAAACGUUCAUGUACAGACCUUUGUAUGGGCAUGUGUUUUCAUUUCUCAUGGAUCCAUACUUAGGGGUAGUUCUGGGUCAUAUGGUGAAAGUACAUUAAACUUCGUAAGAAAGUCUUCUAACGUGGCUUUAUUAUUUGGCACCCCCGUUGGCCAUGGAUGAAACUUCCAGUGGUCCUGUGCCCUCAUCAGGACUUGGUCUUGUCAGAUUUUUAAAUUUUAGCCAUUCUAAUAGGUGUGUACCUGAGAGUUUCUUUUCUUUUCUUUUUUCUUUUUCUCUUUUAUUAUUCUAUAGGGGAUGGUGGAGUAGGGGAAGGCGAGUAGAGAGGUGACUCAUCGGAUGGGGAAGCUUGGGAGAGGGCCUAUGUGACUCAGCUCCCUUUUCUCCUGCCUGCAGAGAAAGUGCAUUAACGCUACCACAUGCAUUAAUGCUGCCACAUGGCAAGCUUAGCUGGGCGGGCUGUGUGUCUCAAGCCGUGCUCUGCUGGGUAGCUUCCUUCCAGGGGGGUCCGGGGUUGGCUCUGACUGGGGGUCACUUUCAUUCUUCGGUGCAAUAUGAGACAGUCAAACACAUAAACCAUGUCUUCACUCUGGCAUCCCCCCUCCUGACCUUAAAUCUGACAUGUGCCCUAUUUGUCUGGCUCUUAUACCCAUCUCUCAAUUGCUUUUUUUUUUUUUUUUUUUUUUUAAGAUUUUAUUUAUUUAUUUGACAGACAGAGAUCACAGGUAGGCAGAGAGGCAAGCAGAGAGAGGAAGGGAAGCAGGCUACCUUCUGAGCAGAAAGCCCAAUUCGGGACUCCGGGAUCAUGACCUGAGCCGAAGGUAGAGGCUUUAACCCACUGAGCCACCCAGGCGCCCCUCUCAAUUGCUUCUAUAUUUGGGGUAAAGGAGGGGAAACUCACCCACCUGUGUCCUAUAAUUGCUUUGGUUUGGCAAGUGAUGGAGGAGGAACUCUCCUGUGGAGAUAAGGUCAGGCUGGAGCUGUUGGCAGCUCUCGUCGCCAUCAUGUCCACAAAGUGUGUGUGAGAAUAAAGCCAACAUAAGGGAUGCUGAGUGGGGGGGAGGGGGGCAGAGGGAGAGAGAGGAGAGAGAGAUUGAUGGCGUGGCUUCAGUCUCCCCAAGGGUUCCUAAAAUAGGUCCUGUGUUCUACCCCUCACAGUUUUGGUUGUGGUGAACUAAUAAAUCCCCACUUACAGUUGUGUUGGUUUGCAUUGGGUUUCCAUUCCUCAGAACAGAGUCAGUUUGGCAUAACUGGUGAGAAACCAGACUCCAGAGGUAGCCACUUGAGUGGGAAUCUUUGUUCUUCCAUUUACUAGGUGUGUGACUGUGUGACCGUGGGCAGGCUACUUAUUCUCUCCUUGCCUCAGUUGCCUCAUUUGUAAUGUAAGAAUACUAACAUGAUAAUUCUGCACGGAGGGGUUAAUACUUCAAACAGUACCUGGCGCAUGGAAAAGUUCUUACUAAAUGUUGGCUGUUAUUAAUACAACCGUAUUCUUCAUUUUCCUCCUACCUUGCUGGGCAGUCUUUUUCAGACUCCCUCAAAACUCUUUCUCAUCUACUUAUCAACUAAAUGUUGGUGGAUCCUCAGGUUUCUGUCCUCGUUGUCACUAUAUACUCCACUGGCUUUGGCUCCUAUCUAUAUGUUAAUAAUUACCAAAUGUGUAACUCCAGUCUUGAGCUCUGUUUUGUGGUCCAGACCCAUCUGGCCAAUUGCUUUUCACUAUCUCUAAUUAAAUCCUGUAUUAUUUUUCUAUUGAGGCAUAAGGAAUUAUGUACUAUACAUUUAAUGUCUUAAACCAAUAUACAUUUAUUAUCUCAUGGUUUUCAUGGGCCAGGAGUCCAGCUUUGGCUUAGCUGGGUCCUCUGCUCAGGGUCUCACCAGACUGAGACCAAAGGGUCAGUUAGGCUGUGCUCUCACCCAGUGGCUAGACUGGGGGAAGAAUCCACUUCCAAGCUCACUUGGGUUAUGGGCAAAAUUAACUUCCAUGCAGCCUCUUUUUAGAGGCUGUUGGCUGGAGGCCAGCCCAAGAUUCUAGAAGCUGCUGGGUGUACCUCACCGUGUGGGCCUUCCCAUGGCUGUUCAUGUCAUCAAGCUUACAGGAGAGGAGCUCUUAGCUGGCUAAGAGAAAGUUUUGUAGGACCUAUUGUAAUCACAGGAGUGACAUCUACCCCUUUGCUGUAUUCUCUUGGUUAGAAGGCAGCUGUAGGCCCUACCCACAAGAAGAGGCGAAACCCUGCAAGGGGAAGGGUUUGUACAAGGGCGGGAGCAGCAGGGGGUUGGGACUAGAGUCUGAGCACCACAGUGUCCAUAGCAUCAUCUACAUGCCCCAAGAGGGACACAUGCCUUCCUGACCACCCACUCUUCUUCCAUCUUUACUGCAGGAGGAAAUGCACCAUCCCCCAACCAAAGGCCAAGCAGUCAUCCUUGACUGCUCCUCUUAACCACCCCUGCAAACAACCACUCACCAAGCCCUGUGGAUUUGCCUCCUAAACCCCAUCGAUUCCUUCAUUCUCUCCACCAUGUUUACCACAACAACCCCCUGCUUGCUACUAUUCUUCCUUCCCCACAGGAGCCAGAGAUAGUUCGAAAGUGCAAUUCUGGUUAAAUUAUACCCCAGUGAAAAUCCCCAGUAACUUUCCAUUGACCUCAGGACGCAGCCCCGACUCCUUAGUGGGGCCCAUCAGACCCUUUGCCAUCUGGCUUCUCUCCCCUCUCUAUCUUGUCCCCCUGCUGGCCUGGGCCCUUCUGCCUGGAACUCUCAUUCCUUGCUAGUCCUACACAUCAGUCAGGAGUUUCCAUGUCAUUUCCUCUGGGAGGCCUUUCCCGAUUGCUUGACUCAUUAGUCUGCCCCUUCCCCUCACUUGCCAUACUUGUCACCCUGGGCUUCCAUGUUCCCAUUUCUCAGCACACAGAAUGGAGAAUGUCCUCAUUCUCCACUAAACUGUAAGCUCUGUGUGGCUGGGGAUGUCCUCUGUGGCUAGCACCAUGCUUUCCACCCUGGAAAACCCAUAAAUAAUUGUCAAGUGAGUAACAUGAUAGAUGGAGACUUGGAUCGCAGCCUACCCUUAAGAAUAUUCCCACCCUUCCCUCCCAGCAACAUCUAGCUUUCACUCCUGAUGGGCUCUGUUCCAGUUGGCAGACCAUUUUAAAUCGAAAGUAAUAUAUUAAUAGAGGCACCUUUGUUUCGGGUAAUAUUUCUUUCCUAUCAUAGCCAGUCUGGUCUCAAGACAUUUCCUUGUUACUGAUGUACUCCAGUGACAUGAGUGCUGGGAGGUCACCUAUUUCCUUUUUAUGUGAUGUUUGUCCUUUUGCUGUGUAAUUGGAAUUUUGUAAAAAUAGCUGACCAACUGCAGUACAGAGAGUUCCAUAAACUCCCUGGGAACAGGCCCCUCCCGUCCACCCUAUGGUGGGGCCCACACCUGCUCCCAGGACAUUCCAGGAGGCGCCCUCGUCCACUGAGAACAGAAGGAGCAUUUGCUCCCGGAGCCCACUUUGGAGGACAGCUGAGGCCAGGUCGGCCUGUUCCUGGGUACCAGCUCUGUUUUCACACAAGUGAUUGAGCCUAACUGACAGGUGUGAAGCCCAUCUCCAUUCACUCCGGCCUGGAGGGAUGAGGCCAACUCACUCGGGAGCCCCAUUAUAACAUGUCACGUUGGAUGGGUGGGGGUUGGAGAAAGAGAGAGAGAGAAUAUGUGUGUGUGUGUGAGAGAGAGAGAGAGGGAGAGGCAGAAAGAGAGAAAAAGAGAAAGGAAAAAAUAGACAGGGAAAGUGAGACAGAGACAGAGAGAUAGAGAGACAGAAAUAGAAGGAGACAAAGAGAAGCAGAGAGCUGGGAAUCAAGAGAUUGGACAGAUAAGAGGACUUGGGCGUCUGCAGAGGGACACCGUUGGUGGCCUUUUAGUUGGGUUAAGUGCGCACAAAUGGAAAACGGGGUAGUGUAGAAUGUCAGUCCCAUCUGGAGGACCAUGUGUGAAAGAAGGGUGAAAUGAGCAUCUGUAGGGUCGUUAGGAUCUUGCUAAUGGGCCGGGAGUGAAUGGGGGGUGGGCAGAUUAGAGCAGGAGUCCUGGAUUUCCAUGGCAGGACGCCGCACCCGUGGCCCUUGUCAACUCUGUCCAUGAGCGAGCCUGGGCAGAUGGGAGGGGGCCCACCAAGUCCCGAUACUGCCACAAAGAUGUGAGGGCCUCUCUUUCCUGGAGAGAAAUCAUUCUCUUGAAUUUUUAGGGGUGGCCCUAGCACCCAGAAAUGCUGGAAGCCUUUUUGGCCCACCUCUUGGCCCGUGGAUCCCAUGAACCAGGCAUGGUGCCAAGUGUGCACAAAGCACGUGCCUUUGCUCACACUCCUCGUAUGCCGACGUGUAUGAACUGUUCGUCUUCACAACAGCCUCACGGGGUGGAUCCUCUUGCUUCUUCCACUGCACAGAUGGGGGCAGGCGGCUCCGAGAAGUCAGCCGGCUGGCUCAGCCCCCCAGUGGCGGGUAGUGGGUGGGGCUGGACUCCACCCCCAGGGAGUGGGUGCAGAAUCAGUGCUCCUCGCUGCUGUCCGACCCAUCGCAAUUCAGUUUGCAAGCCGAAUUCAGUUAUUUUUUCAGAGGCCUUUCCAGAGAAGACAGAAGAGGCAGUAUCGUGGCAAGAACAGACUUCUGGCCCUGGCUUUGUCUUCUCUAAGCACUGCGAGUUCCAGGCAGCCUCAAGAAGCUUCAGCUGGAGCCAGACCACACUGGUGCCCUCGGUUUUUCAUGUGGCCCCUCCUGGCUCCAGGUUCUUCCUCUGGAACUGAGCACAAAACCAGGGUUGUCCUCCAGGGGCCACGAGGAUGAAACAGGCUUCUGUAUUUACCAGGCUUGGUCUGAAGGAUGCCCUCAAUAAAUGUUACCUGUUAUUAUC